rnacentral:misc_RNA from 1 species
GAUGAAGAACGUAGCGAAAUGCGAUAAGUAAUGCGAAUUGCAGAAUUUCCGUGAGUCAUCGAAUCUUUGAACGCACAUUGCGCCCCUUGGUAUUCCGAGGGGCAUGCCUGUUCGAGCGUCAUUAUAACCCUCAAGCUCAGCUUGGUGUUGGGGCCUGCUGCACUGGCAGCCCUUAAAAUCAGUGGCGGCGCCAUCUGGCUCUAAGCGUAGUAAUUCUUCUCGCUAUGGAGUCCUGGUGGACGCUUGCCAUCAACCCCCAAUUUUUCUAUGGUUGACCUCGGAUCAGGUAGGGAUACCCGCUGAACUUAAGCAUAUCAAUAAGCGGAGGA